rnacentral:lncRNA from 1 species
GUGAAUCCUAUGACAUCGGUAAUACAGACUUUGUUUUGGUUUCUAAAAUAUCUAGUAGUAGAUAGUCAUUUUUAAGGUUAAAUUUCUCAAUGAUUCUAAAGUCUAGAGUUUAAUUUUGACUCAGUAUUAAAAUUUUCUUUCCAGUAUAUGUCUUGUUGAUAGAAAUGUUCACUUAUUUCUCUAUAUUUGUAUUAAAAAUACACACACUCGAAAAACCAAAAAAAAAAAAAAAUACACACACUCUACCCUGGCUUUCCUACUACUAAUUUAAGAGACCAUUUCCUUCAGUUUCUUUCUGACCACUUGAGUUUUACUACACUCUAACUUACUGUGAAAAAAAAAGCCACAUAAAUGAAUUUCUAACUUGUGCCAAGCAGAUACCAGUGGUGUUAAGAUUUUGUAAUUGAUUUAGCCUUUUGCCAGUUUCUGUCCCAUCUUCCUUGGCUUAAACUUUAAUUAUGAAGGCCUUAUCAUUCUGUCUUCGCCUGGAUCUUUGAUCCAUUUUCCUGAUCUCAACAUAUGCUAUAGUUUAAUGACUAGUUAAAGGCCCAACUAUGCAAAUAGUUGCUAAAUUACUGAUAGAAGACAAAAGUCUUUAGGAGAAUGAGGCAAGAGGAUUAGAACAUAUCAAAGCCAGCCUGGGCUAUGGAAUGAGAGGACCUUCUCUUUAAAAAUAAAAGUCUUAAGAAAUUUUCUUUAGAAAUCACUUAGAUCAUAUUGGAGGUGAAUGGCAUGUUGGUGAUUAUGAUAUGUAGUUGUUAUAUAUACACAUAUGAGAGAAUACUAUAAUAUUUCAAGGAAGAACCUUUUUAUUUUUAAAAUAGUUUGCAAAAUAAUUCAUAAAUGAAAAAAUUUUAAUUAAAUUUGUUGGGGGCUUUUUUUGUUUUGUUUUGUGGUUUUGUAUGUUUGUUUAGUUUUUGAGAUAGAGUUUCUCUGUUUAGUCCUGGCUUCUCCUGAACCAGGCUGGCCUUGAACUCAGAACUCAUAGAGAUCUACCUGCCUCUGCCUCCCAAGUGUUGGAAUUAAAGUUAUGCACCACCACGUCCAGGUAUAAAUGAAGUUUUAUGAUACUCAAGAUUUGCCUAGUAGCAAUCCUAAAGGUCAAUGGAGAUGGAAAGUAAGAGGGUGUAAUUAGGUAAUUGACAAUAGUGAGGCAGAAUAAGAGGGAGAUCUUGAUCUUUUUAACGAUAAUUUAUUUUUAUUUUAUGAAAUUGUGGUUCUGCCUGUACUUUUGUCUGAGAGUGUCAUAUCCCCUGGAGCUGGAAUCACAGACUUCUAUUGCUGAGCUGUCUCUCCAGCCCCCAAUAAUAAUUGUAUUAUCUUAGUCUGACCACUUUCAUAUGUUGGAAAUUUUCUGUAAGCCAGCCAGGCGUGGUGGAGGCUUAUAAUUGCAGGAUCUGGAAAGCUAAAACAAAAGGACCACAAAUUCAAGGCCAGCCUGGGCUACAUAGG